rnacentral:ncRNA from 1 species
UCAUUUUUCCUUUUAAGGAAAGUUUAGUUCUAGCUUAAAUUUUUAUUAUUUGUAAAUUAUAAUAUGUAAAUUUAUGUUUGAUUAAUAGUAGUAUUUAAAAAAUACUAUAUUAUAUAUAAUAUACUCAGUUUUUAAUAUUAAUUAUUAAUAUAUAUUAUAAUUAGUUAAUUAAAAGUAAAACUAACUAAGUUUGUGCCAGCAGUUGCGGUUAUACAAUAGGUUUAAGUAAAAAUAUAUUGGUUAUUAUAUUAUUAUGUUUAUAUAUUAUAUUAAUUGUAUUAAUAUUAGGUGAAAUUUUAUUAAUAAUAGUGAAUAUUAGGUUAUAUAUUAAUAUUUAUAUAUGAAAGCUUUACAAUAAACUAGGAUUAGAUACCCUAUUAUUUAUGCUGUAAAUUAUUAACCUUAUUAUUAUGAGCUAUGUCCUUUAAAAUAAAAGAACUUGGCGGUAAUUUAAUCUUUCCAGAGGAACCUGUCCUGUAAUUGAUAAUCCACGUUAUAUGUAACUUGAAUUAUAUACUUGUAUACCUCUGUCAUUGAAUGUUUUAUAAGAAUAUUUUCUCUUUACUUUAAUAUGUAAUAUGUUAGGUCAAGGUGCAGUAAUAUUUAAGUAGAGAUGGGUUACAUUAUAUAUAAUUAAAUGAAUUAUUAUAUGUAAUAUAUGGUAUGAAAUAGGAUUUGGUAGUAAUUGUAAGUAAUUUCUUAUAGUGAUUAAGGCUCUAAAUUAUGUACAUAUCGCCCGUCACUCUCACUUAUAGGUGAGAUAAGUCGUAACAAAGUAGGUUUACUGGAAAGUGAACCUGGUAAGAU